rnacentral:rRNA from 1 species
GACGAAGGGGGCUAGCGUUGUUCGGAAUUACUGGGCGUAAAGCGAGUGUAGGUGGUUGUCCAAGUUGGAUGUGAAAGCCUUGAGCUCAACUCAAGAAAUGCAUUCAGGACUGGGCGGCUAGAGGACCGGAGAGGAUAGUGGAAUUCCCAGUGUAGUGGUGAAAUACGUAGAGAUCGGAAGGAACAUCAGUGGCGAAGGCGACUGUCUGGACAGAUACUGACGCUGAGGCGCGAAAGCGUGGGGAGCAAACAGG